rfam:Schistosoma haematobium scaffold2683_2, whole genome shotgun sequence.
AUCCAGCUGACGAGUCUUAAAUAGGAAGAAACGCAAGUCUUGGAU